UACGUAGGGGGCUAGCGUUGUCCGGAAUCAUUGGGCGUAAAGCGCGUGUAGGCGGGUCGGUAAGUCCGCUGUGAAAGUCGGGGGCUCAACCCUCGAAUGCCGGUGGAUACUGUCGGGCUAGAGUGCGGAAGAGGCGAGUGGAAUUCCUGGUGUAGCGGUGAAAUGCGCAGAUAUCAGGAGGAACACCAAUUGCGAAGGCAGCUCGCUGGGACGUUACUGACGCUGAGACGCGAAAGCGUGGGGAGCAAACAGG
rnacentral:rRNA from 1 species